rnacentral:rRNA from 1 species
AGCGAACGCUGGCGGCGUGCCUAACACAUGCAAGUCGAACGUGAAAAGGGAAACCUGAGUACAGUGGCGUACGGGUGAGUAACGCGUAGGUAAUCUACCCCAGAAUCUGGAAUAACCUGCCGAAAGUCGGGCUAAUACUGGAUAGAGCGAGGGAACUCGUAAGAGAGUUUUUCGGGAAAGGGAGCCCGCAAGGGCCUUCGUUCUGGGAUGAGCCUGCGUCUCAUUAGCUAGUUGGUAAGGUAACGGCUUACCAAGGCGAUGAUGAGUAGCUGGUCUGAGAGGAUGAUCAGCCACACUGGAACUGAAACACGGUCCAGACUCCGACGGGAGGCAGCAGUGGGGAAUCUUGCGCAAUGGACGGAAGGCUGACGCAGCCAAGCCGGGUGAGUGAAGAAGGGCGUCGGGUUGGAAAGCUCUGGCGGAUGGGACGAAAAUAGUCAGAGUGAAUAGCUAUGAGGACUGACGGUACCAUAAAAGGAAGCACCGGCUAACUCCGUG